CGCGGAGUAGAGCAGAGGCAGCUCGUUGGGCUCAUAACCCAAAGGACAUUGGUUCGAUUCCAAUCUCCGCAA
rnacentral:tRNA from 2 species